GCUGGAGUACUUAGACAGUAAGGAAGGAACCCAACUUCAGCAAGGGCACUUGUAGGAUAGCUGGAGAGGCCCAAGGGGCUCCACAUUGAAUGGGGAAGGGGUGCUGGUGCAUUCAAAAGCCAAAAAAAGAGUUUUAUUUCUAAACUGAAGGCCCCUCCUGGCACUGCGCAUGGAACACCUCACUGCUGCGGCUGAGGCUGCACAAUGGUGCAUCCAGGAGCAAAAUCUGUAGUACUAGAAGAGCCAGGCAAGGAGCGUUUGAGUACAGAGCUAGGUGCUUACACCCACCUCAGACAGGAGCAGACCCCAGGCUGGCACCUUGAAGCAGAGCUGCCACGUGGGCUCCAGGCUCCGUUUGUUGUCUUUGUGGCAGCUGCAGUGGUGUAUUCGGAGUCUGUGCUGAGACGCGAUUGCGAGGGAUUUCAGACAGCCCCCUUCUGGGCAGGAAGUUUCACAAUUCCAGAGCAAAAGACACAGUACGGAAAAAUGAAAAAGCUUUUUAGUUUUCCUUCCUCAGCCUGCCGUAUCAGGAGACAACCCUAAGCACAGUAAGUGCAAAGUCAAGAUCUUUGUCGUGUUUUAAAGAACACAAGAAUUUCUUACAAGUGUACGGAAUUUAGCCUUCCCUACCCCCAGUGCAAAGACCAACCUUUGCAGGUGAGCUGGUCAGUGGAGGAUUUUGUACUAGCACCCUAACAGUAGUGUAGCAGGAAAUACUUGAUGUGGAAGCGGUUUGCAGCAGUGAAGGAUUAGGCUAAGAUAAAAGGCAGAUGUGCUCAGAUUGCCUCCUGAGAGCAUCUUCACUUAGCUAGAAUUCACUGUAUGACCAAAAAAAUCAGAGAAGUUAAUUGCAGUUUUUCAAUAUUAAAUCUUUAUUAUAUACAAAAAUAUUUUGUUGGGAAUUAACAGAAUUUCACAAUUUUUACAUUAAUAUUUUUAUGCUUGGCUGUGUUUAUUGUGAAAAAUAUUAGCUGUGAAAAAGACAAUGGGGGUUUUAAAAAACAAGUUACAAUUUAAAAAUGUCCUACGUAUUAGCUGACUUUAUUAAUGUCAAGUCAGAAUGCUAACAAGUCCCAUCUAGGCCUGCUCUAUAGCAUUGUAUUCAAACAAUUAGGUACUAAAUCAUCUUCAGCUUCACAUUAGAAAUAGUUAAAUUUUCUUUUGUAUGAUAUUUUCAGCUAAUAAAAUGUAUUUUUUACAGGAGAGCAGUUCUUAAAGUUUUACAAGUGUCAAAUCCAGUUUAGUAUUCUGUAGAAGGAAAAAAAACAACAUGCAAAGCUUCCAAUAGGAAAAGAAAAACCCUUGUGAGAACAAGCAAGGUAAAGAAAUGCACAGUGACAGACUUUCAGUACACAUUUAAAGCAAUACACUUACUUAAUCAAGACUUUAUAGUUCUUAGCCCAGUUUGGGGUGAGAGGGAGGUAAACUUCUUGUAUUUUAAAACCUAAGGAGGAGGUUCCCCCUUCUAUCAGAAUACUCAAGUGUUACAAACAGGUAAUGUAUAAUGCAGGACUCGGGGAGGGAAAGCUCAACAUGCAUUUUUAAAGGGGAAGAAAUCCUUUUCAGCAGUUCUCUCCAUAUGUAAUUGUGUACAAGACCUAAACCAACAAAAAUCAGUCAAAAAAAGAAAAAAAAGCCCAAUUUUGACAGCUGACAAUUUUGCUGCCACUCCCAGAACUGCGCAAAGCACUAUCAUUAGUUUUGUUCUAUAGUAUGUAAUGUAUAAGAUAUCAAAUAACUGAGAAUUUAUUUGGGUUUUUGGAAGAGAUUUUACUGUAUUCUAGGUAAAUGUUAGCUACUUACGAAGCGAUGACUUGGAUCAGCUGUGAAGACAGCCAGACUUGCAUGGACAAGCAUUAGUGUGGAGCUGAUGACAUCAAAAGGAAAAGCGUAAGUGGGAGAAAGUGUCUCCAAGACUACUUCAACCAUUUUAGCCUUGCAGCUUGGUCAUAUUCCACAUCUAACCACUGCAUUAGCAGCAAAAGAAAAUCUAUACCUAACUAGCAGGAGAAAGGGUUAAAGAUAUUGAAAACAAAAUUCACAUUUACUUUAAAUGCAAUGUAUCCUAUAAAAUAUAAAUAUUACUGAAAUGCUCCUUAAAGAAAAAAAAAAAGUUUGGAUGUGAAACUGCUUAACAGCCUUUACCAAGCUGGAAUUUUUGUUUGUAAGUCUGUGCAGGUCAAUUCCAGCUUCAGUGCCAGUAAAUGAAGUAAGAAUUCAGCAGUUCAACAAGUGACAGUUUGUGGAAUAGUAUCCCACUGUGGUCCAAAAUGAAGAGUUCAAGUAAGUUAACAGACACUGUUUUGAAUUUCUUGCAGUAUAUUAACCCUAAGACUAAUUUAUCUAUCUACAUAGCUCUACAUGUCUGUGUGAGUGCACUUUGAAUAUAUUUGGAAGCCAAAGCUGCCUCUUAAUACUUGUUACAAGUGUUUUUAAUGUAUUAGGAUCAUUUCUUUAGUGUUGGGACUGCAAGCACUAAGUUACACCACUCUUAAAUACCGGUGUCCCUAUUGAACACUAUUACCUCUACAAGACAAGUUGGGAAUCCCAAACAAUUCACAUCAGUAAGGUUCUUUAAAAUGUGAAAACUGAAGGGCGGGGUUGGGUAUUGUUUGGGGAAGGGGGGCAGGACUUCAUUUCACCCCCUUCAAUAAUGACAGUCUGCCAGAGAAAGCAAAUGAAAGUACCUUAACUAAAGAAAUCCCAAGAUUACUGACAGCUAGAGAGAGAUUUAAGGCAAGAGGUCUAGCAGACUAGAAGUCCUCACGUCAACUAACCACUACCUAAACACGGAUAAACUGAUCUCUAACACUGUUGCAGAAGUAGUAUCAUUAAGUUUGGCAAUGACACAGUGCUUUAACGCUUCAGAACUUGGCUGAGGCAAGAAACCCUGCAUGAAGUAAAUAAUCCUUAUCUGUUUGCAUGAUAGAUGUGACAGACUUCCACUUGUAACUGGUCUUAAAGCUGUACCUGCAGGCACAACAAGCAGCUGGGAAGCUAUCGCAGUAGGCACUAUAGAUGCUUUGAGAAGUGGCAUCUGCCUCAGCCUUCAGUCAGAAUGAAGAUGAUAGAUGAAGACUGGAUGGAAAACCAAGGAAAAGGAACUGGCUAGGAAUAAGCCCCGCACUUCCUCCUUCUUUGACAUGACUAGCCUGGAAAAGAAUAAAAUCAAAGGUAACUUGUGAGAAGCAUUUUUCUCAUGUCGUGUUGAUGACUACUUUCACACUGCCAGUUUCUCAAUGCAGUUCCUGCAAUUCUUUUGGAUUGUUUCCAACUUCAUGGCCAUUCACCUCUUUAAUAAUGUCACCUACAUGCAGAAGACCUUGUCGAUCUAUCAUUCCGCCAUGGAGAAUUCGUGCUAUUACCAGAUCAUUGUUCUCAACUCUAAACGUAACACCCUGAAAGAGAUCCCUUCUUGCGGAAUUUGGAAUAUGUCUCCCUGGAACAAAUGAGGCAGAAAAGAUAGCAAUUCUGUAGUAAUUAGUUAUUUUUCUAUUUCCUCUUUAAAGAAGGAGACAUAGAGUCUCCCCAAGACUCAAAAAGAGAAUUAUAUCCACAUUCUGGACUGCAAAUUUUCUUAGAAGUUCUUCUAGAGUGGUCAUUA